UACGUAGGCAGCAAGCGUUGUUCGGAGUUACUGGGCGUAAAGGGUGUGUAGGCGGUCUUUCUAAGUCUGGUGUGAAAUCUCCCGGCUCAACUGGGAGGGUGCGCCGAAAACUGGAAGGCUAGAGUGCGGGAUGGGAGAGUGGAAUUCCUGGUGUAGCGGUGAAAUGCGUAGAUAUCAGGAGGAACACCUGUGGUGUAGACGGCUCUCUGGACCGCAACUGACGCUGAGACACGAAACGUGGGUAGCAAACAGG
rnacentral:rRNA from 1 species